rnacentral:lncRNA from 1 species
UUAUCAUGCUAUUGGAGUCCCUUAUAGUCACUGACCUGUUCUGACACUAACUCGCCUGCUCACUCUGCUCUGCCCUACCUGAUCCCCACACCCACCUGGUUACCUUUUCAACAUUUUGAGAGGAUAGGCCCAAGUCCAACAGUGAGAAUCAGAAAGGCAGUUGGAUGCCCUCGUGGUCGCAGUUGGAGGCCCUCAUGGUCACUGACCUGCUCUGAUGCUCACUUGCCUGCCUGCCCUUCUCUGACCCGCCUGAUCCCCACACCCACCUGGUUACCUUGUUACCAUCUUGAGAGGAGAGGCCUACAUCCAACAGCGAGUGUCAGAAAGGCAGUUGCCGGCCCUGUGGUCUCUUACCUGCUCUGACACUUGCCCAUUUCUCCACCUGUCCUGCCCCAUCCCUGGGUGCAUUUCCACCAAAGAGGCACAGCUCCAGCAGCAAGAGACCACAAAGCAUCAGACAAGGUGAAGCUGGGGACUCUGUUGACCCUGGAAUGAGCAGAAAUAGUGGCCAAGUAUGAGCAGGGGCAGCAGUCAGGGUCUCCAGUGGACCCAUAGGAUGAUGCUGACCUCUGGUGCUACAAGGUCACCAACAGAUGGGAGCAACCUAGCCUCUGCACCCAGGACCUCAGCAUCCAUGGCCUCAGCACCCACAAGGUGAGGAUGUGCCAGCAGGUAUACUGCACAGGUUAAAGGACAGGUGUGGUCUCUCCUGUUGGACCUGGAAAAGGUAAAGUUGGAUAACCAAGGGAAAUACAAGAGAAUGAAGGAGCAGGCCAGGCUCUACUUCUGGGACAUCAAAUUUAUAAACAUGGGUGUGAGCCACAUGUUCCAAAACAAUAUUAUAUCCCAGGAGUGGUAUGGCACCAAGCAGUAAGCCCUCUUCAAUGUGCUUGUAGUUUACUCUGUCUACAACACAGUGAGCACUCUCCCCUAGCCAGCCAUCCCACAGUGGCCUAGCUUCUUAAGUGGCCUGUUGGCACCAGUCAGCAUGCCAGCUCCCACAGCCACAGAGAUGAUGCGAGGGGAGUUCUGUUCUCAAACUGACAUGGAUGGCUGGUGUGCAGGCCCCAAUUUUAGGACAGAAAUGGCACAUUAUGCCUGGGCUGUGCCAGCCCGUGAUCUUGGAAAUGUUUUAUAGCAGGUUCACAUAGGCCUAAAAAGCAUUGUUCUGGUGGUGACACUUAAGUUUGAAUCCUGAAGAUGUCAUUUCAUGAACCAGAAUCUUAGCAGGGAUGAGAGUUCCCAGCAACACAAACUCCUGUGUGGCUCCCUGGAGGUGGCUCUCCACCCCACUUGCUCUUUUCAGAAUAUUCCAUCAAGGAAUACCAGCUGAGAUGACCACACAGGAUGACCACAGUGGGGUCUGGGGCUGCCCAACCACCAUGGCCCUCCAAGCCACAUAUAUGCCUAUCAGCAACCCCCACCUGCCCUUAUGGCAGGACCUCCAUACCUUGCUGGUCUUCAGCACCCAGCAAGCCUCAUCUGGGCAGGGGGCCAUGGGAUGGUGCCCAGGAACAAAUGGGAGCCCAUCCAGUAAGUGCUGGGGAGAGGGUGGUGGAGGUUGCCCAGGGAGUCCCUGCAGCCAUAUCUGACUCUUGCAGGAGGUGGGCUACUGCCAGGGCAAGAUCCAGAUUGUCGAACUCCUGCUCAUGUUUAUUAAUGAGGAGGAGGCUUUCUGGGCACUAGCCCAACUGAUGGACAACAAAAGACAUGCCAUGCAUGGUAGGUGACUUCCCUGGAGGGCUGGAUGUGACUCAGCAACAGGUAUCUCCCUGCAGAGUUCUCCCAGAUAACUGGGACUGGCUUGGCUUAUCUCCCCAUCAGCAAAGGGCACCAGCUCCCCCCACAGCCCUCUGUGUCCCACAGCCAUGACCCUUCAUCCCUGUCCUUGUCCAGACCAUGCCAUUCCUGCUGGUCCCUCUUCCUCUCUUCUGCCACACACUGGGCCACCUCCAACCCUACCCCAAGCCCCUAAUCAGAGGAGGCCCAGGUGGCAGCAUCUCCCUGCUGUGUCCCUGCCUGACUCCCAAGCCCAGGAGAUGCUUGUGCACACCCUAUCCCCCAUCCUGUGGGCCAUACACACUGCUCCUCAGUACUGGGACCCUCAUCUCCUGCAGCCACAUGGGGGAGGGGCCAGGCCAGAAACAGAUGCCUGCCUGAUGCUCAGUACUGGGCACCUGCGAAGCUGGGCCUCUGUGAGCAGGUUCUCAUCCCUGGGCCACUCUAGUCUUCAAACACAGUCAGUCAUGUCUGGGAAAAGCCAUGCAGCCAGGUUGGGGUGGGCCUUGAACAGUGGAGUCACUACCUGGGGAGGAGGCCUUGGGUUCCCAGGACACACAAGCCCUUGCUGGGCUCACCUCUGACUUCCAGUGUGGGUGGGUUCUUGGGUUUUCUCAGGCUUCUUCAUUCCACAGUUCCUGAAACUUCAGAGAUUUUAGGUCCAUCAUGAUAAGAUCCAAGACAAGACUCUCCCCAAGCUGAAGAGGCACCUGGGACAAGGAAUACAUGUACACAGAAAUUUAUACUAAGUUGAGGUUCCAACGUUGCUUUAUCAACCAGAUACCUUUCUCACUCCCACUAAGACUAUGGGAUGUAUACAUCCUGGAGGGGGUGUGAAUACUCACAGCCAUGGCCUAUACAGUCAUAAAGCUGCACAAAAAACACCUCCUGAAGCUUCCCCUGCAAGGCAUGUAUGAGUUUCUCCAGGACAAGGUCUCUGGCCCUAGAGGAUGAUGCAGUGAUCAAAAGGCUACAGGCCUCAAUGGCUGAGCUGCACAGGAAGAAUUUGGACCUACCUCUCCCAGCAAAACCUAAGAAGUUCCCCAUGAGGACCCUAGGUCUGGAGCAAUCAUACCUGGAACCCAAGGCUUACCAAACAAUUACAAGCAUCAAGGAACUAUCUGAAGAGGAUGGGCCUGACCUCCCUGGCCCAGCUGCCGAGCACCAGCAGCACAGACCCUUACCCAGCCAGGCCUGCCUAAAGGCUGAGGAACACCAGCAAGAGGGGGCCAUGGCAUCACAACUCCAUUGGAGGGCCUGAGAGUCACCAUAUCUGGCCUACCAGUUCCCACCCCUGGGCAUACCUCAGGACCAGAUGUGGCUGUGGAGAUGAACUUCUUUUCCCAACAUCCCGAGGAACUAUGGGUGUCCAAUCAAGUGGCCAAUUGAUAUAGGAUUUGAGCCCGAGUUUUGGGACCUUUGCCCCUCAUCAAGGGCCAAGGUCACCCUCAGGGCCACACUGCAAGCCUAGCCCUGCAGUCCCACAAAGGCCCCAGCCACAGGUCCUGCCCAGGCCCACUGAACAUGCAGCCACAGGGCCCAGGACACCCCUCCUUCCCCAUAGCAAGUUCAGCUAAUGCCCCUCCCAGGGCAGUGAUCAGCACAGCCAAGAUAGGAUAUGAGAUUUCAAUUUCAUUAUGAUUUGUAAUGCUACUCCAUCAUUUUGCAAAUGACCCUCUGACAUAAUCUAUGACAUAAAGGGCAUUUCUGAUGAAGUUUAUGAAAAAAAUCCAGUAAAAUUUCUAGGAUUCAAAUGACAUGCAUCUAGCCACUUGUAGCAUGAAAUUAUUGAAUCCCAAAUCCCAGUGUCCACCACAGGGUGGCAGAAUUGAUCUUCUUCCUCAGUCAUCAGGCUGCAAGUAUUCAUAGAGAAGACACUUCCAAAAAUGUCUAAGCAUUCGUAUUAAGGAGCUCUAAUGGAACUGCACCAAUAAUUUCCCACUAUAAAUCUAUUAAAGCUAGUUUCAUUUCUUUCUUGUUACUAUGGUGAAAAAAAUGGUAGUGGUGAAUUUGGUAGGGUUUGUAGCAUGUCUCUAAUGACCUUAGACCAUGUUAUUCCCAGAAACUUGCCUAAUUACUUCAAGGCCUUUAGUUUGGUUAAAGAAGAGUUCUACAUGGCUAAUUCUAUUUACCAUAGUUUGCCUAGUCUCUCAAGCUUCUCCCUUUGAGACAGAAACUAUUGUUAAGUUGUCGAUAUAAUAAUGUAUUUUAGAUAUGGUAAUACAUAAAUCUCUUUUUUUAAAAGUAUGACAGUAUGUUAAAGCUAUAUCAUUCGGGGGGAAAUAAUAAACCUAUUCUGUAUUCUUUUGCAUAUAAAAGUAAACUAUGCCUGACAGUUCUUUGAUUCUAAAAGUUAAUCUGGAAGCAUAAAUGUAUGCAAAUUGCAAUUAAUUUUUAAAAGAGUAAUGAGUAAUUCUAGAAGACAAAACAAAUUAUAAUGUUAGAACUAGAAUCACAUACUGGCACAUAAAUAUAUAUGGAAUGCAAAUGAUUAACAAAACAUGAAUUAGCCCAAUUUCACAAAUAUGUAUUUAAAAUAAGGAUAUUUCAAUAUAAAAGAUGGAAUCCCUGCUGUGGCACAAUAGGACUGGCAGCACAAAGGACACAGGUUUGAUCCCUGGCCUGGCACAGUAGUUUAAAUAAAAGAUCCUGUGUUGCCACAGCUAUGAAGUAGGUUGCAACUGAAUCUCAAAUAUGACCCCAGGCCUGGACAUUCCAUAUGCCACAAAAAUAUGUUUCAAUUAGGAUUAUUUUAGUUGUAAAUGAAAGGAAGAUCAAAUGAAAUUAUUUUUAAAUAUAAGAUUUGUUGAUUGGCUUAUGUAAAUACGAACUCCAAAACCUUGAAAGCCUCAGAAUGAGUUGAUAAAAAUGAUCAAUUAUACUAUAAUAAAAUCCCUUACUUUCU